rnacentral:rRNA from 1 species
GUGCGUAACGCGUAUACAAUCUGCCUUUCACUGGGGGAUAGCCCGAAGAAAUUUGGAUUAAUACCCCAUAGUAUAURRGSACGGCAUCGUKWUWMUAUUAAAGCUACGGUGGUGAAAGAUGAGUAUGCGUUCUAUUAGCUAGUUGGAGAGGUAACGGCUCCCCAAGGCGAUGAUAGAUAGGGGUUCUGAGAGGGAUGUCCCCCACACUGGUACUGAGAUACGGACCAGACUCCUACGGGAGGCAGCAGUGAGGAAUAUUGGACAAUGGUCGGAAGACUGAUCCAGCCAUGCCGCGUGCAGGAUGAAGGUCUUAUGGAUUGUAAACUGCU